rnacentral:rRNA from 1 species
GGCUGCAGUAUACUAACUGUGCAAAGGUAGCAUAAUCAUUAGUUUUUUAAUUGAAGGCUGGUAUGAAUGGUUGGACAAAAUAUUAACUGUUUCAUGAUAAUUUUUAAUAAAAUUUUAUUUUUUAGUUAAAAAGCUAAAAUUUAUUUAAAAGACGAGAAGACCCUAUAAAUCUUUAUAUUUAUUUUUAUAAUAAUUUUUUAGGAAAUUUUUAUUAUUAUAAUAUUUAAUAUUUUAUUGGGGUGAUAUUAAAAUUUAAUAAACUUUUAAUUUUUAGUUUCAUUAAUUUAUGAGUAAUUGAUCCGUUAUUAACGAUUAAAAGAACAAGUUACUUUAGGGAUAACAGCGUAAUUUUUUUGGAGAGUUCACAUUAAUAAAAAAGAUUGCGACCUCGAUGUUGGAUU